UUGGGGUACUUAGCUGUCACCCUGUCCUUCAACUGAAAAUCCUGAACUUUUGGGGGGGUUGUUUGCUUUUUCCAGUUGCGACUGAGGCUGAUAAUUAUCUUCCUGAACUACUGAGCACCACAGAACCUCCAGUUAGGAGACCUGCUACUCAUGAACCAAGCCCUGUUCCGUCAGAACCCAAAGAACAUGAAUCUAUCAUGACAGAAGUACCGGAGAGGAAACCUGUUUCAACUGAGGCUGAUAGAUAUCUUCCUAAACUAUUGAGCACACCAGAACUCUCAAUUAGCAGACCUGGUAAUUACGUCUUUUUAUGCAUUUGAUAAAAUUGUAUCCACUGUGAUUGUUGGUAGAUGAUGCAUUAAUGGCACCCCUCAGACACAAGGAGGUUCCAGACAGAACAGAAUUUUGAAAGAUGGGCAUUCAGGUCACAUGUGGGAUUCAGUACACAAAUG